CCUGUGGGAACACGGGCACAUUGUAGAAAUGAGUACGCUUUUCUCAUUGUUAUUGUUUUAUACUUAAUUUAAUGAUAGUGGGUAUCUCUCUUUAUUGCUGCGUAUUCAUUUAGUGAUGCUUUAUCCCAAGGUUUGGCUCCCAAGCAUUGCUGCUGUAACCUGGUGAUCCCAUGGACCGGAGCCCACUCAUCCUGCAUCCUGAGCCCCAGUGCCAGAAGACACAGGGUGUCUGGCUGUGCUGCUGCUGCAAUUCCAACAGAUGUUAAUUCUCUGCUUCACGAAGCCUGAUGGAUGCUGCUGUGUUAUGACACCCGAGCAGGCUCCUCCAUCAGCACAGGGAGAACGAGUGCCUUGCAGACACCUCCUGCAGCUCAUCAGCCAGCACCAGAUCAAUCCCAGCCCUAAUUGCCAGCAGCCCCUGCUCCAAGCUGGGAC